UGGGGAAUUUUGCACAAUGGGGGAAACCCUGAUGCAGCGACGCCGCGUGAUUUAGAAGGCCUUCGGGUUGUAAAAAUCUUUUCUAUGGGAAGAAAAUGACAGUACCAUAGGAAUAAGGACCGGCUCAUUACGUGCCAGCAGCCGCGGUAAUACGUAAGGUCCGAGCGUUGUCCGGAAUCAUUGGGCGUAAAGGGUACGUAGGCGGGUAAGCAAGUUAGAAGUGAAAUCCUAUAGCUCAACUAUAGUAAGCUUUUAAAACUGCUCAUCUUGAAGUAUGGAAGGGAAAGUGGAAUUCCUAGUGUAGCGGUGAAAUGAGCAGAUAUUAGGAGGAAUACCGGUGGCGAAGGCGACUUUCUGGCCAUAACCUGACGCUGAGGUACGAAAGAGUGGGUAGCAAACAGG
rnacentral:rRNA from 1 species